AAGGUUUCCUGAGGAAGGCUCGUCCGCUCAGGGUUAGUCGGGACCUAAGCCGAGGCCGAAAGGCGUAGGCGAUGGACAACAGGUUGAUAUUCCUGUACCACCUCCUCACCAUUUGAGCAAUGGGGGGACGCAGGAGGAUAGGGUAAGCGCGGUAUUGGAUAUCCGCGUCCAAGCAGUUAGGCUGGGAAAUAGGCAAAUCCGUUUCCCAUAAGGCUGAGCUGUGAUGGCGAGCGAAAUAUAGUAGCGAAGUUCCUGAUUCCACACUGCCAAGAAAAGCCUCUAGCGAGGUGAGAGGUGCCCGUACCGCAAACCGACACAGGUAGGCGAGGAGAGAAUCCUAAGGUGAUCGAGAGAACUCUCGUUAAGGAACUCGGCAAAAUGACCCCGUAACUUCGGGAGAAGGGGUGCUCUGUUAGGGUGCAAGCCCGAGAGAGCCGCAGUGAAUAGGCCCAGGCGACUGUUUAGCAAAAACACAGGUCUCUGCGAAGCCGUAAGGCGAAGUAUAGGGGCUGACGCCUGCCCGGUGCUGGAAGGUUAAGAGGAGCGCUUAGCGUAAGCGAAGGUGCGAAUUGAAGCCCCAGUAAACGGCGGCCGUAACAAUAACGGUCCUAAGGUAGCGAAAUUCCUUGUCGGGUAAGUUCCGACCCGCACGAAAGGCGCAACGAUCUGGGCACUGUCUCAACGAGAGACUCGGUGAAAUUAUAGUACCUGUGAAGAUGCAGGUUACCCGCGACAGGACGGAAAGACCCCGUGGAGCUUUACUGCAGCCUGAUAUUGAAUGUUGGUACAGCUUGUACAGGAUAGGUAGGAGCCUUGGAAACCGGAGCGCCAGCUUUGGUGGAGGCAUCGGUGGGAUACUACCCUGGCUGUAUUGACCUUCUAACCCGCCGCCCUUAUCGGGCGGGGAGACAGUGUCAGGUGGGCAGUUUGACUGGGGCGGUCGCCUCCUAAAAGGUAACGGAGGCGCCCAAAGGUUCCCUCAGAAUGGUUGGAAAUCAUUCGCAGAGUGUAAAGGCACAAGGGAGCUUGACUGCGAGACCUACAAGUCGAGCAGGGACGAAAGUCGGGCUUAGUGAUCCGGUGGUUCCGCAUGGAAGGGCCAUCGCUCAACGGAUAAAAGCUACCCCGGGGAUAACAGGCUUAUCUCCCCCAAGAGUCCACAUCGACGGGGAGGUUUGGCACCUCGAUGUCGGCUCAUCGCAUCCUGGGGCUGUAGUCGGUCCCAAGGGUUGGGCUGUUCGCCCAUUAAAGCGGUACGCGAGCUGGGUUCAGAACGUCGUGAGACAGUUCGGUCCCUAUCCGUCGCGGGCGCAGGAAAUUUGAGAGGAGCUGUCCUUAGUACGAGAGGACCGGGAUGGACGCACCGCUGGUGUACCAGUUGUUCUGCCAAGGGCAUCGCUGGGUAGCUAUGUGCGGACGGGAUAAGUGCUGAAAGCAUCUAAGCAUGAAGCCCCCCUCAAGAUGAGAUUUCCCAUUCCGCAAGGAAGUAAGAUCCCUGAAAGAUGAUCAGGUUGAUAGGUCUGAGGUGGAAGUGUGGCGACACAUGGAGCUGACAGAUACUAAUCGAUCGAGGACUUAACC
rnacentral:rRNA from 1 species